ACACGACAGUCGAGCGGUAGCACAGAGAAGCUUGCUUCUUGGGUGACGAGCGGCGGACGGGUGAGUAAUGCAUAGGAAUCUGCCCGAUAGUGGGGGAUAACCUGGGGAAACCCAGGCUAAUACCGCAUACGUCCUACGGGAGAAAGGGGGCUUCGGCUCCCGCUAUGGGAUGAGCCUAUGUCGGAUUAGCUAGUUGGUGAGGUAACGGCUCACCAAGGCCACGAUCCGUAGCUGGUCUGAGAGGAUGAUCAGCCACAUCGGGACUGAGACACGGCCCGAACUCCUACGGGAGGCAGCAGUGGGGAAUAUUGGACAAUGGGCGCAAGCCUGAUCCAGCCAUGCCGCGUGUGUGAAGAAGGCCCUCGGGUUGUAAAGCACUUUCAGCGAGGAAGAACGCCUAGCGGUUAAUACCCGCUAGGAAAGACAUCACUCGCAGAAGAAGCACCGGCUAACUCCGUGCCAGCAGCCGCGGUAAUACGGAGGGUGCAAGCGUUAAUCGGAAUUACUGGGCGUAAAGCGCGCGUAGGUGGCUUGAUAAGCCGGUUGUGAAAGCCCCGGGCUCAACCUGGGAACGGCAUCCGGAACUGUCAAGCUAGAGUGCAGGAGAGAAGGUAGAAUUCCCGGUGUAGCGGUGAAAUGC
rnacentral:rRNA from 1 species